rnacentral:rRNA from 1 species
GACGAACGCUGGCGGCGUGCUUAACACAUGCAAGUCGAACGGAAAGGCCCUGCUUUUGUGGGGUGCUCGAGUGGCGAACGGGUGAGUAACACGUGAGUAACCUGCCCUUGACUUUGGGAUAACUUCAGGAAACUGGGGCUAAUACCGGAUAGGAGCUCCUGCUGCAUGGUGGGCGUUGGAAAGUUUCGGCGGUUGGGGAUGGACUCGCGGCUUAUCAGCUUGAUGGUGGGGUAGUGGCUUACCAAGGCUUUGACGGGUAGCCGGCCUGAGAGGGUGACCGGCCACAUUGGGACUGAGAUACGGCCCAGACUCGUACGGGAGGCAGCAGUGGGGAAUAUUGCACAAUGGGCGGAAGCCUGAUGCAGCAACGCCGCGUGCGGGAUGACGGCCUUCGGGUUGUAAACCGCUUUCGCCUGUGACGAAGCGUGAGUGACGGUAAUGGGUAAAGAAGCACCGGCUAACUACGUG